rnacentral:rRNA from 1 species
AUUGAACGCUGGCGGCAUGCCUUACACAUGCAAGUCGAACGGUAACAGGUCUUCGGAUGCUGACGAGUGGCGAACGGGUGAGUAAUACAUCGGAACGUGCCUAGUAGUGGGGGAUAACUACUCGAAAGAGUGGCUAACACCGCAUGAGAUCUACGGAUGAAAGCAGGGGAUCGCAAGACCUUGUGCUACUAGAGCGGCCGAUGGCAGAUUAGGUAGUUGGUGGGAUAAAAGCUUACCAAGCCGACGAUCUGUAGCUGGUCUGAGAGGACGAUCAGCCACACUGGGACUGAGAUACGGCCCAGACUCCUACGGGAGGCAGCAGUGGGGAAUUUUGGACAAUGGGCGCAAGCCUGAUCAAGCAAUGCCGCGUGCAGGAUGAAGGCCUGCGGGUUGUAAACUGCUUUUGUACGGAACGAAAAGCCCUGGGUUAAUACCCUGGGGUCAUGACGGUACCGUAAGAAUAAGCACCGGCUAACUACGUGCCAGCCGCCGCCGUAA